rnacentral:SRP_RNA from 1 species
GGGCGGGACCGGUGCGGCGAAGCCCUGCGAACCCCGUCAGGUCCGAGAGGAAGCAGCGGUAAGGAGGUUUCUUCGGGUGUUACCGGCAAACCUGCCCGGA